rnacentral:rRNA from 1 species
AUGGAGAAUAUUAAACGAACAAAUUCGCCCCUCCGCAAAAUCUCAUGUCCUUGCCAACAAUGGCACCUCUACCUUCUUCUGGCUUGUCUCCUCCCAACUCCGCUCGCAGACACCUACCCACACUUCUUCUCUGUCUCCAUCUCACCCUCAGUUCUGGCAUCACAUGUCAUGCAGAAUGGUUUACUCGCUACUCUGCAAAACCGCCUAACAAAUGUUGCUUCUAUAGAGCUUGCGUUUGUUUUGUCUUUUUUGCAAGAUGUUGCCGCCAGUGAUGCGCCCGACGACAGGUUCCUCACCCACGGCUCCCCGUUCUCUUCAAGGUGCGCCUACUCAGUGGUCUCCUCCGACCACAAGAUCGAUCUCAACGCGGGGCACAUCGGGAGAUCCAAGGCUCCUACCAAGGACAAGAUCUUCGGCUGGCUUCUUUGUCGUGAUAGGUUUAGCAAGAUGGCGAACUUACAUCGCAAGACCAUCUCUCCUCUGGCUCGGACUGUCCGCAGUGCAACAUCACUCAUGAGGAUGCGACGCACCUCGCCCAUCCUUCGCCGACGCGCGGCACAGGUCUGGUCCCUCUUGGGGCUGCAACCACCUCACUCCAUCAACCUCGUUCGGAAUACCACAACGCCGGUCGGCCUCGACAUCAACAUUUGGCCCACUGUCUAUUCUCAUCCUCCCCCCACCAGCACCCACGAAGCCAUGUCCUUUCCUCUCCUCUCUGCUCAUCCACCAUCUCCGUCGCCGUUCGCCUCACGUCUGCCAUCCCCGUGA